GGGGAAUUUUGGACAAUGGACGCAAGUCUGAUCCAGCAAUGCCGCGUGCAGGACGAAGGCCUUCGGGUUGUAAACUGCUUUUGUACAGAACGAAAGGGCUCUGGUUAAUACCUGGGGCAGAUGACGGUACUGUAAGAAUAAGCACCGGCUAACUACGUGCCAGCAGCCGCGGUAAUACGUAGGGUGCGAGCGUUAAUCGGAAUUACUGGGCGUAAAGCGUGCGCAGGCGGUUUUGUAAGACCGAUGUGAAAUCCCCGGGCUCAACCUGGGAACUGCAUUGGUGACUGCAAGGCUGGAGUGCGGCAGAGGGGGAUGGAAUUCCGCGUGUAGCAGUGAAAUGCGUAGAUAUGCGGAGGAACACCGAUGGCGAAGGCAAUCCCCUGGGCCUGCACUGACGCUCAUGCACGAAAGCGUGGGGAGCAAAC
rnacentral:rRNA from 1 species